rnacentral:rRNA from 1 species
UCAAUAAGCGGAGGAAAAGAAACCAACAGGGAUUGCCCUAGUAACGGCGAGUGAAGCGGCAACAGCUCAAAUUUGAAAUCUGGCGUAAGCCCGAGUUGUAAUUUGUAGAGGAUGCUUCUGGGUAGCGGCCGGUCUAAGUUCCUUGGAACAGGACGUCAUAGAGGGUGAGAAUCCCGUAUGUGACUGGCUUGCACCCUCCACGUAGCUCCUUCGACGAGUCGAGUUGUUUGGGAAUGCAGCUCUAAAUGGGAGGUAAAUUUCUUCUAAAGCUAAAUACCGGCCAGAGACCGAUAGCGCACAAGUAGAGUGAUCGAAAGAUGAAAAGCACUUUGGAAAGAGAGUUAAAAAGCACGUGAAAUUGUUGAAAGGGAAGCGCCCGCAACCAGACUUUGCGGCGGUGUUCGGCUGGUCUUCUGACCGGUUUACUCGCCGCCGUGAGGCCAUCAUCGUCUGGGACCGCUGGAUAAGACCUGAGGAAUGUAGCUCCCUUCGGGGUGUGUUAUAGCCUCUGGUGAUGCAGCGCGUCUCGGGCGAGGUCCGCGCUUCGGCAAGGAUGAUGGCGUAAUGGUUGUCGGCGGCCCGUCUUGAAACACGGACCAAGGAGUCUAACAUCUAUGCGAGUGUUCGGGUGUCAAACCCCUACGCGUAAUGGAAAGUGAACGGAGGUGGGAACUUUUUGGUGCACC